UAGUUUUAUUAGCUCACUAAUAUAAAUUUGUAUAAAGUAGGUUUUUUGAUCAACUUUUACCGUAGCUAAAUACAUAAACUUAAAUUUGUAAAUAUUUUAAUUCAACCAAACAAAUGUUUGCGAAGUUUUUACCUUCUCAGUUUGGAGGCAAAGGAAUUCUAGAGCAAAGGUAAAUUGCCUCGAUAAACUAGUUAAUAGAAAACAGAAACAAAGAAAGAAAUGGCAAGAGUUUCGUUGGACAUGAGAAAACUACUGUGCCAAAAGCCUUGCACAACACUCCUAAUCUAGAAACCCUAUCUGCUACCCUCAGCCCUUUUCUUUCAUUUCAGUAAUCACGAACAGCGAUUCAGUGAAGUAAUGGCGUCAAAGCUAGCUCAGUUGCAAUCAAAGGCAACACAAGCCUCGCAGUUCGUGGCGAAGCAUGGUUGUGCUUACUUCAAGCAGCUACUAGAACAGAACAAGCAGUAUAUCCAAGAACCACCCACUGUUGAAAAGUGCAAUCUUUUGUCAAAGCAAUUGUUUUACACUCGUCUUGAAAGGUUUUCAUUUUCUUUUCCCCUUUAUCCACUUCUUGGGUGCUAAAUUAACUACUUGCAUUGCAAUGUCAUGUUGAUUGAAUUCAGUCCCUAGCAAUUGCACAUGUUUAUUUUAAUGUACUUGGCUAUUGCUCUGAUCUGAUUUCAAUUAGUUUUAUGAACUAAACAAUAAAUAAUUGGGAUGAGUAAGCUCUGUUAAUAAAGAUCUUUGGCCUAGAUUUUCAUGCUGCAA